UCUCUCUCUCACACACACACAUAGUCACAUACAUACAAACAAACAAAACAGAACACACAACAAAAACCAUAACGCAAAUCACUCCAAUCACGAUAAUAUUCAAACACACACAAAAACAAAAAAUCAAAACGCAAAACCAACAAAAAAAAAACUUCACAUACUACACACUCAAACACAAAAUUCAAAAAAAAAAAAAAAAAAGACAAGCGAUGCAUGAACCAAAAAUCUGCACAUUCUCUUACUUACCAAAUAUUUAUGUUUUGGUUUUCGUUCUAAACAUAUUUUCUUGGAGAUAGAACGCAUGUUGCAUCGUCCACUUUAAAUUUUUCUUUAUUCAUAGCUAACUAUCUGAUAAAAAUGAUUUCUUGCAAUACCAUAUUAGUAAUAAUUGUAUGUUUUUUAAUUCUAAGUUAGUAUAAAAAAUUUCAAACAUUAAAUUGGUGUAUACGUUGUUUUUUUGUUUAAAAUUAUUAGUGGAGAGCGCUUUAAAAUAAAUAUUUUCUUUAAAAGAAAAACUGUUGCAUAGGAAAAAUAUAUAUUAAAAUUUAGAAAGACGUAAGUGUUAAAGAGAAAUGUGCGGGUAAUAAUCAUUAGUAAUUGGAAACCAUAUGCAAAUACACUCAAGUUUAUGAACCAAAUGAAGGUUUGAGGAUACCUUUAUAGAUUCAGAGAGAUUCAAGAACAAUGUAUACAAGCGAUAACAAUAAAAAGAAAAGUUAUUAUUAAUAAUAUUAAGUCACCAAAAACCACAAACAAAAUUGCUCACAAGACCAAUUCAAAACUUAUCCACCAAUACUAAUUAUGUGCUUAAUGAAAAAAGGCCAAAAAGGACUUGGCUCUCUCCUCUGUUAGAAGAAGAAAAGUGUUGUCUCCAACAAAAUUACUAGAGUGGUUGUUUCUCAAACCAAGAUAUUCAGAAGAGAGGGGCUUGGCUUGGUUUAGAGAGUAAUGGAGUCAACCAGGGCUUCCGUAACCUUCUUCUUCAGUUCCUUUGGCUCGAUCCACAAUGAACUUUGUUCAUGCAAUAGCUUCUUUCUCUCUUUCUUCUUAUCUUCCCUUUUUAGUCCCGUCAUUCUCAACCACUCCAGCUUUUCUGCUCUGUUUUUUUGUCUACGAAAAUGUAUUUAUUAAUUUAACAUAAUAAAGUUAGAAUACAAAGUUUCAGAAUAUAAAGAGUAUUAACUCUGUUAUUUUCUUUUCUCAUAUUCGUAUUGAUCUAACAUGAUCUUCAUCUUUAACUAUCACUCAUACUUUACUUAACUUUCCAAAUCAUUUUAAUUAUUCAUAUCAAAUUUCUAUAAAAAUACAAAUCCAAUAAAUAAAUAAAUAAAUAUAUAUAUAGACAUGUGCAUUGAUGGAAUUAAUUUUCAUAUACACACAUAUUUUCACUUUAUUUCCUCAAUUGUUUUUUUUUUUUACUUUUUUCCUUCACAUUGCUUAAAAUUUUGAUGUUUUCUUAUUAUGUAGUUUUAUAUUAAAGAAAUUGCUAAUUAAUGUGUGACACAAUUUAAUAUAAUAUACAUAUGUCAGUAUCUUAUAAAUUAUCAAAAUAAUAUGUCAUAUCGACAUUAAAUGCAUCAAAAUUUUAUUAAAAAGACAAAAUUCAGUAUCUAAAACGCAUAAUUGCUUAUUGCAAAUAUUAUUUUAGUCUCCAUCUAUAUAAUAGCUUGACCAUCAACACCUCAAAUCAACAUCUCAAACUUCUUACAAGAAAAAAAAAAUUGAUUAGUUUGAGAGAGUCGUUAAGGUUAUAAAAUGAAGUUCACAACCAGUGUCGUGCCUAGGAUUUUGGAGGCCUUAGGCUAAAAUUAAAAUGUAACCCUUUUAAUGAAAUUAUAUAAAAAAUCAGUAAUCAAAUGUACAGUAGUAUUUUUAAAAAAUUUGGUGAAAAAAUAGUUAUACUUUUAUGCGGCUGAGGAUCGAAUUUGAACAAAAUAAAAUAUGCACAAAACAAAUUAGCCAACUAAAGAAACUAUAAUUCACUUGUUAAAUGUGACCUCUAAACUUAAUAAAUAAGAUGUGGCCUUAGGCGAUUGCCUUUUUUAUUUCACUGUAGGCACGGCUUUGUUCACAACAUACAAUAGUUUGUUUCGCAUUUGUGAUAGUUGUUAUGUCGUUUUUGGCUCCCACCAAAGGAGUUGUGGGAGAAGAGAAAGUGAAAUGCGACGUGAAUGUGCUUAAACCAUGCAUAAAUUAAGGCAGCUGAAGCCCUAACUCAACCAUCGACAGAAUGUUGCAAAAACCUGAAAGAACAAGAGCCGUGUCUGUGUGGUUUCAAACCAGGCCCGUUAUUGAAUGUUCCAUUCGAAUUUGCUAAUAUGAUAUUUGUGACUUGUGCAGUAUAUUAUCCUACUUGCUAAAGUUUAAAUAUUUAUAAAAAAAUAACUAUUAAUGUGACCAUUAUUAAAAAUCGUAUGUAAUAAUAUUUGAUCAUUGGUAGUUUAUUGCUUCAUAGUUUAACCUAAUUCAGUAUAGUGUUCGUUUUCUUAUAAAGUAUGCGUCAUUCAAUAUAUAAAAUACAUAAAAGAUAAACUAUUGUAUUUUAUAUAGAAUGUAUGUUUUUAUUUAUAUGUUUAUCUAUUUUUUCAGAAAUUUGUAUCUGUUUCAAAAACAUUUAACGAUAAUAUAUGCAGAAAAACUCCUUUUUUAAUGUAUAUUUGGAUUGCAAAUUUGAAUCACUUUUUUUUAAGAUUCAACUCAAUUAAGAGAAAAGGAGAAAAAAGAAUGAACACGACAAAAUACGAAAGAUAUAAAAUACAAAGAAGAUUUUUGUAGUUUUGUACGUGUAGUGUAUAAAGGUAAUUUUGUAUAUAUUUAUAAUUUAUAUACAAAAUGUCAGUUAAAAAAAAUUGGUUACUUGGUGAAUUAUGUAAGGGAUUUUGGUUAUUCUUUACAUUUUUCCAAUGAUAAAAUUCAUAUUUUCGAUUUUUUAUUUAGUUUUCAUAGAUCUGUUUUUUUUUUUAAAAAAAAAAAAAAGAAGAGGAGUAAAACAAUAUACACUUUAUCUGAAACGAAGAGUAUAUUUCAAAGGAAAAACUUAAUACCUCUAAAAAGUAGUAGAGAAAUGUGCGGGUAAUAAUCAUUAGUAAUAAGAAACCAUAUGCAAAUACAUCACUCAAAUUUAUGAACCAAAUGAAGGUCUCAGGAUACCCUUACGGAUUCAGAGUCAUUCAAGAACAAUGGAUACAAGUGAUAACAAUAAAAAGAAAAGCUCUUAUUAAUGAUAUAAGUCACCAAAAACCACAGACAAAAUUGCUCACAAGACCAAUUCAAAACUUAUUCAUCAAUACUAAUUAUGUGCUUAAUGCAAAAAGGCCAAAAACGACUUUGCUUUCUACUCUGUUAAAGAAAAGUGUUGUCUCCAACAAAAUUACUAAAGUGGUUGGUUUCUCAAUCAAAGAUAUUCAGAAGAGAUGGGCUUGGCUUGGUUUAAUGAGUAAUGGAGUCAACCAGGGCUUCCGUAAGCUUCUUCUCCAGUUCCUUUGGCUCGAUCCACAAUGAACUUUGUUCAUGCAAUAGCUUCUUUCUCUCUUUCUUCUUAUCUUCCCUUUUUAGUCCCGUCAUUCUCCACAACUCCAGCUUUUCCGCUCUUUCUUUCAUCUGCGAUUUUAAAAUACGAAACCGGUCAAAAAUCCAGGCACUUCUUGAAUCGCUUUACAGCUUACAAAAUAAUUAAAGCACUAGACUAGCAAAGCUCCGAGACAGGGACCAAGAGACAUUAGGAACUCAAACUAGAAUCAGAAACCUGUGAGUACAUCAAAUGAAUUUAAAAGCAUUCUCUUCAACUAGUCGAUCAUUGUUGAUAAGUGAAUAUCGACAAGGGGCAAAACAAUAUUUUAGAUCGGUAAACUCAGGUUUUAUUAGAUCAGAUCAAAAGAGUACAACUGAGUUCGGUUAUUAAGUUGAUAAUAACGAACUAAGACUUUAUGACACUAAGAAUCUAAAGUGAUGAGUUCUCAGUCUCUAGGUCUUCUUUGGAAUAUUUUGUGUCUUUCGGUGUCGAUUCCUCUUCCUUUAUAUAUAUCUUCUAAGUCGGUCAUCGAGUGCACCUUCUGCGAUAUGGGACCGAGAGGACUUUCCUUUUCUCUCGGUCCUUUUCCUUUUCUUAUAACACUUUCCUUUUUCCAUUCGGAAACUUUCUAUUUUCACCGAAUUCGGAGAAGACUUCUCAGUUUCUUCGAGAAGUUUCUAGCCGACCUCAGCUUAAUGGGUUGCGUUCGGCCCAAGAAUUUACUCGGCCCAGUCUUUCCAGUACAUUUCCUUCGUAAACCGGGCUUACUUCGUGCCGAUCUCGGUUUGUACCGGAGAAAAUCGGGGGUGCGGUUUUCACCUCCAACAGUUAGCCCCCCCCCCUCAGUUCGAUGAAAGAAAGUGACUUUUAGUCGAACUCAUUUGUUUCAAAGUAGGUCAGAAACCGAGCUCGGUAACUGCAAUCGAUUCGCAUUCCCGGACGUUUCGCACCCUGUCUUCAAUGAGGCGCGUGAAUUCCGGGGUUUCGCGAAAAUUGAGGAACCACGAUUCCCACUGUUUAUAAGGGAAUAACUUCUUCUCGCAUUCAUUAUUCUCGCUCAAGCAUAUAUAAGGUACGCUGCUCUCCCUUCUCUCUAGAUUUUGUUUCUCUCUCUAAAAUUUUGCUCGUAGUUUUCUCUGAUUUCUUCAACUUCCACCGCCGCAAUCCCUUGAUUUUUCCGAUCAAUCUUCAAAUUUCCCGUUUGAUCUUCAAAUUCUCCGAUCAAUCUUCAAUCUUUUCCGGUUGAUCUUCAAACUGUUCUUCAUUCUUCUCAGAUCUCCUUUCGAUUCUACCUUUCCGAACCCAAAAUGUCUUCCAGCUCUUCAAUCAACUCCUCUUCUAACCAGAUUUUGCCGGAAGAUCGUCGCGAGCCUUCUGAACCGAGCUCUUCUUUCUCGAACCCUCAUUCAUCGAACUCCUCUAACAAGGAAAGUAAUCCUCCACAGUUGAUUCGUAAAAACUCCAGAUCGGCCAGCGCGAGCAGUAGCCGAUCUCGACCGCGAGUUGAGGCUACUGAGCAACUGGCUACAAAGACUCGCGAAACGAAAGCUCAAACUGGGCCGAACACUAGUGGUAUCGAUCACGAGAUCGAGGAGGUCGAGGAAUCUGAAGGAGAAAAUCCCGAGGAGAAUGCUACCGAAGCGGGAGCUGCCGAGGACAACCUUGAUGCAGUGAACCAUGCUUCGCCACCACUUCCGAAGCGAAAAGUCGUUUGUCCUCAUAACGUGCUGUCUUCUUCCCUUUCCCCAAAUGCCGUUCAAGCCGUACUUGAAGAGAACGGGCUUUCGGACAAGGUCAUCUUUAUAAUACCAGAAGCUGAAGACCGACCAUGGGAUGUACCCGAAGGCUUCCUCUACAUCUACCUGACGUACUUCACGCAGUGCAGGCUCUCCCUUCCAAUUCCCUCUCGUCUACUUGGGUACUGCAAUCGGCGGGGCGUAGCUCUCACGCAAGUGAUGCCGGCAUCGAUAACGAACUACGUUGGUUUCGUUACUCUGUGUGACGAUCUCAAUGAAGUUCCGAUUAGUCGGCUUUUCGAAGACCUCUUCUCGGUUAACAUCCACAAAUCCAAGGAGUGGUUCUUCGCAGCGAACGCCAAGCCAAGAAAGAACAUCGUUACUGGGGUCAAACCCAGUAAAUACAAUGACUGGGAAUCCAAGUACUUUUACCUCGAGAUGAACGAUCUCACCGUCAGCAACUCUGACAUCCCAACUCAAUCGGAGUGGAAGAUUCCGAUCGGUAGAUUUAGAUGAUCUUGUACUUAGUUGAAUUUUGAUUUCGUAUCCCUCUAAUUCUUCUUCGGUUCAUUUUUGCAGGUCGUCAUCUCCCAAGUAUUCUUCUCAACCCUGGACUCACUUCCGAAUUCGAAGCAGCUUUUAGUGAAGCCGGUAAACAUCGUUGGCUCGAAGUUUGGGAAGAAAUUCUUCAGCGCCGAGCUAAGAAAGCAGGUUUGAUUAUUGACUUUUUUAUUUUGAGUUUGUUCUGAACUCUCCCUUGAUACGUUUCCUUUGCAGCCUCCGUUCAAGAACCGAAGCCGCUUAAACCAAAAACUCAAGCUCGCAAACCUCGAGCUGCUCCGAGACGCAAAGCACCGAAGCCGCAAGCUAGACGAUCUCGAACUGCCAGGAUGCUUUCACUAGAAGAGAUCCCCACUCUGUUCGAUGAAGAGGAACCGAACGUCGCAGAUCCAACUCCUAUCCCUGCCACCGAAGGGACCAACGAGCAGCCUGAAGAACUGCCGCCUGCUGCAAACUCGUCCGACCAAGCUGGUCAGAAGAAGCUGAAGAAGAAAAUUUCCUCAAAGAAGAUUAAGAGGAUCGAAGAAUCUUCUUGGGCGCUAGAUGCCGCUGCUGAGCUCGAGCCACCGACGGCUGUGACGUCGGACCUCGCUCUGCCUCAGGAUCGAGCUGAAGCCUCUCAUUCUCGGAAAAGGCAGGAAAGAGAUCAUGUCGAAGGCUCCCAGGAAGCAGAACCUGCUAAAAGAGCUAGGGUUUGAUUUGACUACGACGAGGAGAUUCCCUUCGAGGAGAAUGUCGACGCUUGUGCCGAUCUCUACCACAAGAUUUCUUCUGAGGUUCCAAGUCUUCCGGCGAUUUCCGAGCUCCGGUUUCCAAACCUGUACAAGGGGAUUGCUCGCACAACUGCCGUGGUACUUUCCUUAUUCCUUUUUUUACCUUAAUACUUUGCCUAAGUAUGAGCUCUAACUCAUGCUUUGCUUUGUGCAGCUCGCCAGUCAGACCAACAACUUGGUCGCGGCGUAUGAGGUCGCUUUGUAUGAUGAGCUGGUUAGGGUCGCCGAGCUAGAGGAGAGGGUCUCCAAGGCGGAAGAACGUCUUGCCACCGAGCUCCUGAUCAACGACACUCUCCACACUUCUGUUGAUUUGCUGAAGCAAGAGAGUGCGGAGCUGAGAGCGGUGAGAGUCAAAUUGACCGAGGCGAAAAACUUGCUUUCUCAGGAAUUCGAGAAAGAUAGGGAGCGGCUGCGGGGCUUUGUGGCCUAUUGGAAAGGUCGAGCUAGGAGCAUUCACGCAAAGGCUUACGAACGCUUGGAUGAUGCUGAUUGGGCUCGUAAGCCGUAUUUUGGUGGUCAACCAGCUCACCGGAGUUCUUGGCUUCAUCAAGCAACUGAAGAAGAAAGGCUUGUACGAGGUCCCGCCCGAGAUGGUAGCUGAUAUCGAAGCGAAGCACGCUAGAGCUUUGGAGGAUUUCCGUUCGGUCGACGCUUGCAUCCUUACUGAAGAGGAUAAGCGCAUGUCCCCGUUCCCGGAAGAGGAUGAUGCACCGGCCGUGAUCGUGACUCAGUGUGCUCAGGACCCGGUGGUAGGCGAACAGUUCGGUUCAAAUGACGACAUUCUUAACGCCGAUCGAGUUGCGACUUCAAAGACCGCCUAAUCUUUCUUUUUUUUUCUUUUAAAUCGAACUAAUUUUCCCUUUAAUGGGUUAUGUAAUAUUUUAUUUAUUUCCAAACCCUCGGUGGGUUUUUGAACUUAUUUGCCUUUCGUGAGGCUUUAUAAUAUGUUUUUUUUUUGUUCCUUUCGUGAUGGUAUCAUUUCAUAAUUUUUCCUUUGUUUUUUCUCAAGUAGUAGAUCGGUAACUAGUAUCUUUAGGUAGCGAAUUGCGAUAAUUUGGCUUACAUUUGCGAGUGUUGAGAACUCGGCUUACGGUGCGAAUCUGAGGAGUUCGGCUUAUUGUGCGAGCAUUUGAGCUCGGCCUGGGGAACCCAAGUGAAUCGUGUCGUACUGGAAGAGUGAUUUUACUCGAACUCCUGUAAGUGCACGAAACGAAUUCAAGAUUUUCCUAAGUCGAACCUAAGUAUGCGAGAUGAGCUCGGCUUAUUGUUCUUGGUGAUUUAGAAAUUUAACUGCGGGACUGGCCCUGGCUUUUGAUAUGUGGUUUUUACCACGGCACCAUGUGGGUGUUUGCGAGACGGAUCUCGGCUUUUUAAGUUUGCAUUCAUGUGGAAUGCUAUCGAACAACUGGCCAGGAAGUCGAUGUAAAAACAAGGAGUUCGGUAUCUUGUGAUUUUUGAACAAAAACUUUAUUGAUGUUAUAGCUGGACUCGGUAACGAGCUGCCUAUGUACCCUUUUAAAGGAUCAAGCCAUUCGUAGUUCUAAGUACAAAAAAGAUUUUUUGCUCCGGACUAAAUAGUUCAGAGGCUCUUUUUUUUUUUUUUUUGAAAAAUCUCAGAACAAACUAGUAGUAGUAUCGUUUGAGAUGCAUUGAGUUCCAGGAUCGCGGAAUCGGGGUUCCGUCGAGCUUCAUGAGUUGAUAAACGCCGGGUUUAACAACUUUCAUUAUUUGGUAUGGUCCUUCCCAGUUCGCGCCGAGUUUCCUGCGUUCUUUUCUUCUGUGUUUUGGUAAACUUUACGAAGUACGAGGUCGCCAUCUUUGAAAUGACGGCCUUUAACCUUUUUGUUGUAGUAACGAGCUGGUUAAACAUCAUGUCGCCAUCUGUGUUUUGGUAGUUUUGUAUCCGGAGUAAUGCUCGUUCGCGAUGUUCCUCGACCAAGUCAAUUGUGUCGAACAUCAUGUCGUUAUUUGCGUCGGGUUGCUGGGUGAGCAUGGUUCGGCGAAUACUUAGGACGUUGAGUUUGGCUGGACACAUAGCUUCCGUUCCAUAUGCGAGGAAGAAAGGUGAUUAUCCGGUCGAACGCCGUGGUGUAGUUCGGUGGGACCAUAAGACGCCAUCGAGUUCGUCCGCCCAAGUUCCCUUAGCGGUAUCUAGUCGCUUCUUCAGACCAUCGAUAAUGGUUUUGUUCGUAUCUUCGGCCUGUCCGUUUCCUUGUGGGUAUCACGGGGUAAGGAAACUUAGUCGGAUUUUCCACUUGGCGCAAAAAUCUAUGAAGAUUAUCGAAGUGAACUGGGUUCCGUUGUCCGUAACGAUCUCGUAUGGGACUCCGUGUCGACAUAUGAUAAAUUUCCAGACGAACUUCUUAACAUAGAUUACGUGUAUCUCGGGGUAUGCCUCGGCCUCGACCCAUUUGGUGAAGUAGUCGGUGACGACCAGAACGUAUUGCUUCUGAGUUGUAGAUCAACGAAAAGGACCGAUGAUGUCCAUUGCCCAACGCAUGAAAGGAUAUGGUGCGGUCGAGGUCAUCAAGAGCUCGGUAGGAAGGUUGAUCAUCGGGCCAUGACGUUGGCACUUCUCGCAUCAUGCUGUAUACCUUUCGCAGUCAGAAAGCAUAGUAGGCCAGUAAUAGCCAGUUUUUUUUUAUCUUGAACGCCAAAGACCGAGCUCCGGAGUGAUUCCCUCCUUCUCCUUCAUGUACUUUCUGCAUUACUUCCAUGAUGUCGUUGCCGUGAACACAAGUCAAGAGUGCCCUUAAUGACCACGUAUCGAGCUGCACGAGCCUUAAAGCGCCAAGCUGCCCAUUUAUCUGCGGGGACUGUUCCAUCUCCAAUGUAGCCCACAACUUCGAAGGUCCAAUCUUCGGGCUCAUCUUCACCUUCGGCUUUGAUAUCGAUUGGAACAUGUUGGCCUUCGGACUCGUCUUCGAGAUCGGAUUCGUGAUCAUUUUGUUCGUCCAUGUCGGUGUUGAGAUCGGUGACGACUUCUCUAGGUUUUGUCUUUCGGGUGAGGGGUGGAGCUAGAUUGGGUCGGGCUUCGUAAUCACGAUGUUGCAGCUCGGACCAGGCUUGAUACUUGGUCGUUCGAUUGCCGCGAUUGGGAUAGUUCGCCGAAGAUCGGGAUCGGAAUUAGUCGCGAGAGCGGCUAAGGCGUCGGCGGUUGCAUUCUCAUCACGAGGUACCUUUGUAAGCUCGAAGCAACAUCCUUAACGACUUUGAGCUACGCGUCCAUGCGAUCAUUAUUGGCCUCGUAUUCACCGUGAAAUUGGUUGACCACAAGUUGAGAGUCGCAGUAGGCGUGUACAUGUUCGGCACCGAUACCUUUAGCAAGUCGUAGUCCGGCAAUAAAUGCUUCAUAUUCGGCUUCGUUAUUGGAUGCCGGGAAGCCAAGGCGAAAUGAUUGUUCGAUAACCUAUCAUUCGAGAGAUUUGAGACGAAUCCCGACGCUGGAUCCUUUAUGGGAAGAGGAGCCAUCGGCAUGGAAAAUCCAAGGUUGUAUGACCGGAUUAACUUCAAUGAGCUCAGGUGGGAGUUCAACCAAGAAAUCCGCCAAGACUUGAGACUUCAUUGCAGUUCUUCCUCGGUAUUCGAUAUCAUACUCGCUAAGUUCGAUGGCCCAUUUGGCGAGUCGGCCGGAUUGACUUGAGCUGUGAAGGAAACUGCGAAGAGGGUGGUCAGUCAGGACGACGAUCGAGUGAGAUUGAAAAUACGGGCGUAACUUCCUUGCGGAAAUAACCACGGCAAAGGCGAACUUCUCCAAGGUCGGGUAAUGAUACUCUGACCCAUCAAGGGAUUUACUUGUGUAGAAAAUUGGCUUCUGCUCGCCACGAUCUUCUCGAACAAGAACACUGCUGACCGCGUACUCCGAAAAUGUCUCGCCGGUUUCGGGUUUGGAUAAGACUGGUGGCGUAGACAAGUAUUUCUUAAGUUCGGCAAAAGCUUCUUCGCACUUUUCCUUCCAUUGGAGAUGUUUGUUACCGCGAAAAAGUUGGUAGAAAGGCAAGCACUUGUCUGUCGAUCUGGAUAAAAACCGAUUAAGUGUUGCAAUGCGUCCAGUGAGUCGUUGAACUUUGCGUUUGGUUGUCGGUGAUGGGAGCUCGUGUAUAGCAGCGAUCUGUUACGGAUUAGCUUCAAUACCGCACCGUGUGAUUAUGUAUCCGAGGAACUCUCCGGACGUUACGCCGAACGUGCACUUAGUGGGAUUAAGCUUCAUGCCAUACUGGUCUAAAAUAUCAAAGCAGGUGCGAAGAUGACCGACGUGAUCGGAAGCGAUGAGUGAUUUCACGAGCAUAUCGUCAAUGUAAACUUCCAUAGUUCGCCCGAGCUGGCUUGUGAACAUCUGCUUCACCAGUCGUUGGUACGUUGCUCCAGCGUUCUUCAAACCAAAAGGCAUGACCUUAUAGCAGUAUAAGCUGUGGUCCGUGAUGAACGAAGUUUUUUCCCGAUCUUGUGGAUGCAUAAGAAUCCGGAGAAUGCAUCCAUAAAGGAAAGCAGUUCGUUUCCGGCAGUUGCUUCCACGAGGCGGUCGAUAUGAGGCAAAGGAAAGCUAUCUUUCGGACAUGCUUUAUUGAGAUCGGUAAAAUCGACGCAAAUCCUCCAUUUACCGUUCUUCUUCUUGACAACUACGGGAUUUGCCAACCAAUCAGGAUAUUUAACCUUGGUGAUAGAUCCUGCUUUGAGCAACCGCUCGACCUCAUCGUUGACGGCUUGCGCCUUUUCUGGUCCAAGCUUUCGGCGUUUUUGCUUGAUCGGCUUGUACGUCGGAUCGAUGUUGAGCUCAUGACACGCGAUCUGUGGAUCAAUCCCGGGCAUAUCCUCUACUGACCAUGCGAAGGUGGACGAAUGUUGUUUCAGGAAGUUAAUGAGCGCAUCGCGGAUACUUGAGUCGAGUUCGGCGCCGAUACCGACUUGACGCUCCGGCCUUAGUUCGUCGAUGCAAACUCCUGCUUGGGUUUUGUUUGCUGGACGACGAGCUCGGUCGUUGGACCUUGCGAACUGAUUACACAAGCUUGGUUGGCUGAAUGAAGCUUGCAUUCGUUUAUGUAACACGAUCGAGCGACGGCUUGGUUUCCUCUGAGAGUGUAAACCUUGUCGGGAGUUGGGAACUUCAGGCACUGAUGGUACGUUGAGGCCACUGCCUUCAUCGCGUGUAACCAUGGCGUACCGAGAAUGGCGUUGCAAAUUGCUGGUUUGUCGAGGAUGAGAAACAGGAUGAUCUUCGCGACUCCGCCGAGGUAGAUCGGGAUUUUGACCAUGCCGACCGUCAUGCAGCGUUCGCCGUCGAAACCCGUAAGUGGUUCGAUAAAAGGCUCAAUCUUAUCUGAUGGUAAAUCGAGCUGGUCGAGUGCUUCUUUGAAGAUAAUGUUGACCGAACUGCCUGUAUCGACCAGAAUGCGGCUAACUUCGACAUCGUUGAGAAGUAGUUCGACGACGAGGGCGUCGUUAUGCGGUUUAUGCAACCCGAUUGUAUCGGCCUCGGUAAAUACCAAAGGCGUUCCCUUCGGCGGGUCGUGCGGGACUUUGGGCGUGUUGGCGGCCUGUCUACUGUAUUCUUUGAUAGCUCGAACCGAAUAGCUGCAACCCUCGAUAGAUCCCAUUAUCAUGUUGACACGUUUUCUUGCUUUGGGAGCAUGGUUUUCUUGUGCUCGGUCAUCACGAUUGCGUUUCUGUUGUUCGGGCAAAGCUGGAGGAUUCGGUGGAGGCGGUGGUAACGCCGGCAAAGCUGGUGGAGUUGGUGGGUCCUUGGCGACGGUGUUCUCGAGCUGUACGUUAUUUGGUCGAGGCAUGUUCGAACGACGGAGACCGUCGAUUGAGAUUUGCCCACUGUUCCUUGGCGUGUUUGAGCGACGAAGAUCGUCAACCGAGAUUGGCCCCUUUCGGUAUUGCCCGAGUAGGUGUUCUCACAGAUGUCUACAUUCGUCGGUGCUAUGUCCCUUACGGUUAUGGAAUUCGCAGAACAAGGACUCGUCCAGAUCUUCUUCACUACGGACCCAUUUAUUGCUCCAUUGUUUGGUUGGUUGCUGGAUCGCAUUAGCGUAGAACUUCUUACGAUUCUCGUACCCUCUGCUAUAGCCUGACUGCGGUUCAUUAGUGGUUGCUUUCGAACGUUCGGGCUGCUUUGCCGAAUAGCUUUGCUCAUAAGCGGCCUCUUCUUCCUCUUCGGCGAUGUAAGUAUUAGCUCGGUGUAAUGCAUCCUCUAACAUCUGUGGAGAGUUAUGCGUAACUGCACUUCGGAAACUAGUCUUUAUCCGAGCUCCUUUCUGAAGGCAUAAGAGGGCGGCUUCAUCGCUGAUCGUACAAUUGGCGACAAUCGUCUUGAAGCGCUGGAUGAAAUCGCGAAGGCUCUCGCUUGCUCCUUGGGCUAUUUGCCAGAGCUCGGAAUUCUUGGUGUUCUGCCCGAUGAACAUUGAGAAGUGUUUAACGAAGGCCGUCGUCAACUCCUUGUAGUUAUCUAUUGAGUUCGCCUCAAGUCGCGAGAACCAGUCGAGAGCCAUUCCUCCCAAACUCUCCAUAAACAGCUGGCAUUGAACCGCAUCCCUCUCCUCCGCGGAUUUGAACUGGUAUUGAUUCAUGCAGAUGCCAAAUGACGUCAAAAAGUGUCGGGGAUCAGUAUUGCCUUCAUAGAUCUUCAUCUUACGUUUCUCCAUAUGUUUGACGGGCGUUCCUGCUAUGCGCGGUGUAAAGGGUGUCUUUUGUGUUUCCUGAAUGACGCGCUCGAUCUCUGGAGCCGCGCUAGUUGCUUGAUGUAUUUUCGAAGUGAUCUCGCGAAGUUGUGCCUUCAUCGCUUCUAACUCGGCGUCGCGAUUUAGGUCUGGUGCUGGUGCAUUCGCUGAUCCGACUGCGGUAGACCUCGUAGUUCCGGCUGGGUCUCCAUCAGUAUUGAGGUCGUCAAUGAUGUUCCGAACUCAAAGGGGAGUUCGUGCUUGACUGAGCUCGGUGAUUUAUGCUGCCAUCUGAUUGAAACGUUCCUCGCUCCUUUUGUUAAUGGCCUCGAAUUAGGCGUUGAACACUUGGAGCAGCAGUUCAGUUCCAAAACCUCCUACGGCUGCGGGGGUUUGGCCGGCUUCAGUCCCAGUGUUUUCCCCAGGAAUUCCUCUUCCUUGCUCGGCAGGGUUUCACACAUUAGCGUUUUCUCUGCCGAGAGGGUUUUCUUCCUCAUGAAUGUUGGCUUGGUCCGUCAUUGCUGAUUCGAUCUAUCCGAAGUCCGAUCUAAAACUGAAAAUACUGUUUAGGCCCCCUACCUGGCGCGCCAAUUGUUGAUAAGUGAAUAUCGACAAGGGGCAAAACAGUAUUUUAGAUCGGUAAACUCAGGUUUUAUUAGAUCAGAUCGAAAGAGUACAACUGAGUUUGGUUAUUAAGUUGAUAAUAACGAACUAAGACUUUAUGACACUAAGAAUCUAAAGUGAUGAGUUCUCAGUCUCUAGGUCUUCUCUAGAAUAUCUUGCGUCUUUCGGUGUCGAUUCCUCUUCCUUUAUAUAUAUCUUCUGAGUCGGUCAUCGAGUGCACCUUCUGCGAUAUGGGACCGAGAGGACUUUCCUUUUCUCUCGGUCCUUUUCCUUUUCUUAUAACAGUUUUCUUUUUCCAUUCGGAAACUUUCUAUUUUCACCGAACUCGGAAAAGACUUCUCAGUUCCUUCGAGAAGUUUCUAGCCGACCUCGGCUUAAUGGGCUGCGUUCGGCCCAAGAAUUUACUCGGUCCAGUCUUCCCGGUACAUUUCCUUCGUGAACCAGGCUUACGUCGUGCCGAUCUCGGUUUGUACCGGAGAAAACUGGGGUGCGGUUUUCACCUCCAACAAUCAUAAAGAUAGAUUCCCAAAUUUUCAAGAAGAGAAGGAGCAAUUUUAUUCUUCUUCAAAUGCCAGACAAACCCUUAACCCCAUUUUAUUCAAGAAUCAUCUCACACACUAAAACUUAACUAAAGAUCCAUCACACAGAGUCUGUACGUAUAGAUUAAGAGCGAGUGAGUGUACCAGGGUUUCCCUGAACUCUUGCUCGGCGAUCUUGCGUUCCUCAGCCCUGACCUUAGCUGCCUCAGCCUUCAACCGCCCUCUCUCCUCAUUGGCGGCUCGUUCAGCCAUCAAGCUGGCCUCAUAUCCUUACGCUGCUUGUCGACACGAAGCAUCUCAAUCUCAUGUAUGUACUCUUUACGAUACACCUUCACUUUCUUUACAUAAUACCUCCUAAGCUGUGCAAGACUUCUCUCAGCGUCCCUAUGAUCGUUCGGGGUUUCCCAGAUACCAAUAUAGCUCUCUGGCUCCAUAAAACUGUGUGUCUCCUGGUGGUAUCUGUGGUGAGUGGCCACUGAAGAGACGAGAACUGAGAGAGCGAAUAAUGUUGCUGAAUCUUCUCCUUGUUGCAAACGCCUUCAUCGUUGAACUGUCGUCGUCGUUGAGCCGCUGUAGUAUGUCCUCAGGUUUUAGUUUUUCCUCUUUUAAAAUUUUAGCAUUUUUUAUUAUCUUUUUGGUUACUUCAACUCAACGGCUUACUUAAUUUUAACUUUAUUAUAUACACAUAUUUGAACUUUUGACCCAUUUAAUUAAGAUUAAAUUUUUGAAAAUUUUAGCUCGUUGACUCAUUUAAUUAAAAAAAUUGGUAUUUUAACUAGUCCAAUUUUUUCUUUUUAAAUAUCUUUCUUUAUUUGAAUUUGUAUAAAGUUCAAAAAAAAUUUCAGAAGACUAUAAAAUACAAGAAUUUUUCAUGACUGAAUAGUUUUAAGAAAGCGAUAUGACAAUUUAAGAGAAUGUUACCAUUUAGUGCAUUUUUUCAAAGUAUAAUUGCUAAAAAGAUAUUUUUUGGAAAUAAAGCACUUAUUUUAUUUUGCUCUUAUUUUUACUUUUUGUUUUUUUUUCUUUUACAUUCUAUUUAUCUACAGAAAAAUAUUAAAACGUACGGGAUUCACUUAAAUUCACUCAUCAGCUUCCACACACUAAAUCGCAUGGGAUCCACCUUAAUUCAUCAGCUUUCACACCCUAAAUCGUAUGAAACCCAUUUAUAUAUAUGUAACUAUAUGAAUACACAUAUAAAUAUACAUAUAUAUUUAUAUAGUUACAUCUAUCUAUAAUAUAUAUAUGUGGAUAUGCAUGUAGAUGUAUAUAUGUAUCUAUAUAGUUACAUUCAUCUUUAUGUACGUGGAUAUGCAUAUAUAUAUAUAUAUAUAUAUAUCUAUAUAUUUGUGUUCACGUGUACGCUAUUAUAUGAAUACGUAUGUAUAUAUAUAUAUAUAUAUAUCUAUAUAAAUGCAUAGAUAUCUAUAUAUUUGUGUCUACGUGGACACUACUAUAUGGAUACAUAUGUGUUUAUCACUAGACGACAAAAUAAUUUAAGUUAAAAAAAUAGAAAAUGAGUAUCAAAGUAGUAAGAAAAUAUUAUAUAAUUUAUAGUGUCAAAAUAAUUAUUCGAUUAUUUUAAAAAUAAAUAAAUAACAACAAACAAUUAUAAAAGAUGUGUAAUAUUAAUAUAAUAUUAAAUAAAUAAAUAAAAAGAGGCAAAAGAGUUAAAACAAUCAUCUGUUUCAACAAAACAAAACAAAAAAAAAAGUGUGUCUGGUGAUAAUUAAAACACAAAAAUACCCACAUGGUAACACACUCACAAUUUAAUGAUGCUUUUCUUCUAUAAAUGUAUUCGUUAAUAGAGUAUUAAAUCUGUUGAUGUUAAAAAAAAGAGUAUUAACUCUGUGUUUUUUUUGCCGAAAAUGGAUUUAUUAAUUUAACAUAAUAAAUUCAGAAUACAAAGUUUCAGAAUAUAAAGAGUAUUAACUCUGUUAUUUUCUUUUCUCAUAUUUGUAUUGAUCUAACAUGAUCUUCAUCUUUAUCUAUCACUCAUACUUUACUUAACUUUCCAAAUCAUUUUAAUUAUUCAUAUCAAAUUUCUAUAAAAAUACAGAUCUAAUAUAUAUAUAUAUAUAUAUAGACAUGUGCAUUGAUGGAAUUAAUUUUCAUAUACACACAUAUUUUCACUUUAUUUCCUCAAUUAAUUUUUUUACUCUUUUCCUUCACAUUGCUUAAAUUUUUGAUGUUUUCUUAUUAUGUAGUUUUACAUUAAAGAAAUUGUUAAUGUGUGACACAAUCUUUUUUUUUUGUCACAAACACACUUUAUUUAUCGAUUAAAUAAAUACAUUUUCUGUAUCAUUAAACCAAUAAGGAACUGCAGUGCCUAUAUAAGAAAAAACAGUCUUUAGAGCCCUCGCAUUCUUUGCUAACAAAUCAGCUUUUAAGUUCUUUUCUCUUCUACGAUGAUGCAAGACAAACUUUGGGAAGUCUUGACGAAUUGUUGCUAGCUCGCUUAAUUCUGAUGAAAAGGCUGGCCACGCAUCCGGGCUGGCUAUCAUCUUGAUCAAAUCUGUGGAGUCUGUCACAAACAAAGAUCAGUAUUGAUUCUUCUUCUUCAGACUAAUCAUGGCAUAUACUAGACUCUGUAGCUCCAUAUGUAGGGGGGAUAAGCCUCGGCAGAUGCCCUGGAGCCCUAAGAGAUCUAUUGUUCCAUCCUGGAGUUCUAGAAUCCAGCCGACACCACUAGUUACAUCAUCUGAUUUCCAUGAUCCAUCCACAAAGCAUAUAAAUGGUGUCGAAGUCAGAAACCCUGCAUCCACAGACACUGGUUCACCUAUAUAGGUUGAUUCUGCCAGAGUAUUAGCCGUAGACCAAGCUAUGACUUCUCUAUUGGCACUAUCCAUUAUCUCUAAUGGUGGACGGUCUGUUCCAUUGAAAAGUUUGUCAUUACGAGCUUUCCAAAUAAACCACAUAAUCCAGGGGUAGGCAUCAGCUGGUUCAUUGAUGUUUUUUCGAUGUGGCCUUCUUGAGAAAAGGUAAUCAAAGUUCUCCAACAGAUUUUCGGUUGGAAAAAUAUUUGGCCCUGAUGGUACAUUUGAAAUGGCCCAACAUUGAGGAGCAGGCGGACACAUGAAAAGUGCAUGGUUAAUUGUUCUUCCGGAAAACCGUAUCGUGGACAAAAAGGAUCCACUCGCAAAUGUCUAUGAGUUAGACGUUCAUUUACUGCUAACGCACCCGAUAGGGCCUGCCAUAUGAAGUGACGGAGCUUACUUGGUGCCUGUACUUUCCAAGCAUACUCUUUGAGGGAAUUAAAAGAUGGCUUCUGUAGUUGAAAACGUAUGUCCACGUCCAACUUCCAGCGAGAUACCUCAUAACCCGAUUUAAUUGUGUAAUUACCACAUUUAGUGUGAUGGCAACACUAUCCGUCACUUCUGAACCCAGAAGAGGGUUUCUGACUUAAAAUUAACAGUAUAUCUGGAGGUGCGACAACUGCUUUAAGCAGAGGUAGAUUCCAAGAAUUGGAAUUCGUUAUAAGUUCUGAGACUGUCAUCAAUGGAUUAUACGUUGGAGAUAUGCUUGUAGCUGGUUUUGCAUUAACUCCAGGUAACCAAUUGUCAGACCAGACAAGGGUUUCGUGUCCAGAACCUAUGGUACGACGUACUCCUUUGUCCAUCAGUUCUUUUGCCGACCAGAUACUUUUCCAUCCGUAUGAGGGUUUAGUCGGCUUUUUGCACGGAAAGGGUGUGAGUUACGGAAGUACCAUCCUUUAAACACUCUUGAAAAAAGAGAGUUUGGGAACUGAUUCAACCUCCAGAGUUGUUUAGCCAAAAGAGUCUGAUUAAACUCUUCAAACGACUUAAACCCGAGACCUCCAUCUUUUUUAGGUAAACAUAGUUUUUUCCAUGAUACCCAAUGCAUCCCCCUUGAUUGCGGUCCAGAACUCCACCAAAAGUUGGCCAUCGCACUCGUCCGUCAGCAUCUGACACAAGUUUUUAAGGAGAAGGAAACAUGACAUCACAAAUGUUGGUAUGGCUUGGACGACAGAUUUAAUCAUAACUUCCUUUCCACCUUUGGAUAAUAAUUUAGCCGACCAGCCAUUUACACGAUUAUUUAGCCUGUCACGAACAUAUGCAAAAACCUCCGCUUUUGAUCCUUGUAAUUGCUCUGGUAUACUCAGGUAUUUUCCUGAUCCUCCAUCUUUGGAGAUUCCUAAAAAUUGUUUAACCUCCACCCGAACACUAUCAGAGAUACGCUUACCAAAUGUUAUUGCAGACUUAUCAAAAUUAAUCCUUUGGCCUGAUGCAUUUCUAUACAAGGUAAGAAUACGAAGAAUCUCCUCACAUUGUCCUUUCGAGGCUUUACAAAAGAAAAGACUGUCACCAGUAAACAAAAGAUGCGAGAUAGCCGGACUUUCCUGAGCCACUUUUAAGUCCGGUUAUUCGAUUUGUCUCCUCAACCACUCUGAUAUUGGAGAUAAGUACUUCCGUACACAGGAUGAAUAAAUAUGGCGAUAAUGGAUCCCCUUGUCUUAAGCCUCUAGAUGGAACGAUAUUUCGUUUCGGGGUGCCAUUGAUCAGGACCCUAUAAGAGACAGAAUUCACACAUCACAUAAUCCAUGAGAUCCAUGAAUCCGCGAAACCCAUUUUAGUCAUGAGAGCCUCCAAAAAACUCCAUUCAACUCGAUCAUAAGCUUUACUCAUGUCAGUCUUGAUUGCCAUAAAUUCUUUUUUACAUUUAUCUUUCGUAUUGAGUGCAUGGAAGGCCUCUUGAGCUAGAAGUAUAUUAUCUGAUAUUACUCUCCCUGCUACGAAUGCAGAUUGAGUCUCAGAGACCAAGGAGGGAAGAAUUCGUUCUAGUCUUUGAUAAAGCACUUUUGAUAUAAUUUUAUAGCACACAUUACAAAGACUAAUAAGACGGAAUCCUUUCAUUUCUCUGGGUCGUUCCGUUUUUGGAAUCAAACAAAUAUUUACUUCAUUGAUUCUAGGGUCAAUAGUUCCCGAUCGCAGAAAGUCCUGAACCAUAUCUACCACUUGAGGACCAAUAAUAUGCCAGAACUUCUGAUAAAAAGAGCUGUCAUGCCAUCCAGUCCAGGGGCCUUUUCAGGAUUUAUCAUAAACAGAGCUUCCUUUACUUCAGACAAAGAUAAGUCCCUAGUCAAUAAGUCUUUCAUCUCUGGAGUCACUUUCCUAGGCAAAUGCUCAAGGAAAGAUUCAAGAUCAGAGACGCUCGAAGAUGUGAACACAUCUUGGAAGUAUGAAAUAGCCGUAUGUUAUAUUUCUGCUUCCUUUUCUGUCCAAAUGCCAGCGGCGGUAAGAAUCCCUACAAUCCGAUUACGAGCCCUUCAUUGCCUCGUCUUUGCGUGAUAUAAUUUUGUAUUCUGAUCACCCUCCUGAUACCAAAGCGUUCUGCUUUUCUAUUGCCAAAAAAUCUCUUCCUCAACUAAUGCGACCCAAAGUUGUUCUCUUAUGUCUGACAAUUCUUCGGUCGAGGUAUUAUCAUCAGUUUGGGCUUCAUCUAACUGGGUUUUUAUAAUUUCGAUCACUUCUGAUGAAUUUUGCUGAUCCAACUUUCUUUUUUUUUUGAAAUGAAUGUUAAAUUUAUUCACACCAAAAAAAACUGUUUUACAAUAACUGCUUCUUUGUUUUGAGAAAUUUAGAGCUUUAAAUAGAGAAAAAGAAAACUAUUUUGGAAAAGCUACUUGUGAUAAUAGCUAAAGGCAGGCAAACCAACGACACAUCCCAUCUUCGUAUCUCUUGUCUCCAGCCAGCGGAAUAGCACUGAACCGAUUUCGCAUGUUCUUAUCAAUAAGAUUGAUCAUUUGCUGUGGUUGCGUGUGAUUUUCUCCAUGCCGCCGACGGUUGCGUUCGCUCCAUAUAUGAUAUAUUGCAGACUGGAAGAUGUAUUUUGUGAUGAACAUCUUGAUAUGAUCCGCAUCAGAGGUUUUGAUCCUGAUGAGCAGAGAGUCCCAAGCCGUUGAGUAAGAUGUUCCUAAAAGUUUAGAGGUGAGAGCUUUCCAAACAUCAGAGGAGUAGUUACAUUCGAAGAAAAGAUGAUUUCGAGAUUCCGGAGAGUGAUUGCAGAGAAUGCAAUUUCCCUGAUUCGUUUCUCCCCAACUCGACAUCCGGUCUGCCGUAGAUAGUCGAUUCAAAACAGCCAGCCAAGUAAAAAAAGAAUACUUUGGCGUGGCAUGUUUGAACCAAACUCCCUUGUGCCAAUCCACCAGAUUGUGAGCCUCUCGAAUAUGAUUCCAAGUGCUCUUUGUUGAGAACUUUCCCUUGUAUCUGUCCGCCGAAGCUUUCCAAAGGUAAAUGUCUUCUCCCUCCUUUCGCCAUUUCGAAAUGUGAGUUCUGCAAUUUUUGAUGCGAUCCCCUAAAGACACUGCCGAGUUGGAGCUGGGGAUAGACCAACCUUCUUUGAAAACAUCCUCAAAGUUAGGUUUAGAUAGCCAUCGUUUAUCAAAACGAAAUUGCUUUUUCCGAAAAAACGCUUUGAAAGUGUAUGUGUGAGAACUGGUUGAUGAUCAGAUCCCAUAAACCGUAGAUACUCCGCAUGAGUAUGAGAAAACAACUCAUACCACUCCUCAUUUCCCAUAGAGCGAUCUAGACGACAUCGAAUGAGAUUUCUCCCUCGACGGCUUACCCAUGAGAAACUAUUGCCAGUAAAUGGAAAAUCAAUCAUGCCACAAAUGUGUCGCAUAAGGCGAAAGUCGAGAAAAGAGUUUUCGCUGCGUAUGCGGCCUCCUAAUUUUUCAUGAUGACCAGUUAUUUCAUUAAAGUCUCCGGUCAUUAACCAAGGUUCUGAACGUACCGUGCUAAUACGCGAUAGUCGUUCCCACACUAAACUUCGUUUCGACACAACAUGUUCACCAUACACGAAAGAAAUGAAAACUUUAUUACCGUGAAUGGUAGCCAUUACAUGAUAACAUUCUUAUUGGAAAAUAAAAUAUCAACUUGAAAUUCAGCUAAAGCCAAAAGGGCUAAGCUACCACUACGACCACAUGGGUCAACAGUAAAAAGAAAAUCGUAACCUAAGUGCGCUUGCAAAUCUUGAAGGAAAGAACGGUCUUGCUUUGUCUCCAUGAGAAAGAGUAACCCCGGGAAAUAUUUUUUACGUAUUUUCCGUAAUCGACGAACUGCCAAGUAGCUCCCAGCCCCCUGAUAGUUCCGGCUUAGGAUCAUUUAAGCGACCGCCGGUGGUUUCUCCUCAACCACCGGGCCUAUUAAUUCCUUCGAACUUCUUCCUCUAUCAAGAACCGUCUUCGAAGAUGACGGCCGUACAGUAACUUGCGAAUCAGUAAUUCCCUGCAAAGACUCUCCAAAACACAAAGAUGAUUGUUUCAAUGAUUUGGAACCACGGAAAAGACUACGAACAAUCUUCUUACGAGCAUUGAGGGACUUGUUUAUCCCAAGCCUACUCUUUGCCUCUUUUCCCCUUUUGCCACCAUGGUAGCCAAUUGUUCUUUUUUUUGGUGCACCAUGAUUUGUAAAAAGCUCCUUUAAAGGAGAAAUCAUUUCCUCCAAAUCCACCAUGUUUGUUAAUGAAGCGGAUUCUGUGGACACCACGUUCCCACCUACAUUGAUAAUUACAAUGUGUGACACAAUCUGAUAAUAAUAAUCUGCAUAUAUUAGUAUCUUAUAAAUUAUCAAAAUAAUAUGUCAUAUCGACAUUAAAUGCAUCAAAAAAUCUAUUAAAAAGACAAAAUACAGUAUCUUAAACUCAUAAUUGCUUAUUGCAAAUAUUAUUUUAGUCUUCAUCUAUAUAAUAGUUUGACCAUCAACACCUCAAAUCAACAUUUCAAACUUCUUACAAAAAAAAAAAAAUUGAUUAGUUUGAGAGAGAAGGUUAUAAAAUGAAGUUCACAACAGUAGUUUGUUUCGUAUUUGUGAUAGUUGUUGUGUUGUUUUUGGCUCCGACCAAAGGAGUUGUGGAAGAAGAGAAAGUGAAAAUGCGACGCGAAUCUGCUUAAACCAUGUGUGUAAAGGCAGCUGAAGCCCUAACUCAACCAUCGACAGAAUGUUGCAAAAACCUGAAAGAAUAAGAGCCGUGUCUGUGUGGUUUCAAACCAGGCCCGCUAUUGGAUGUUCCAUUCGAAUAUGCUAAUAUGAUAUUUUGGACUUGUUCUGUAUAUUAUCCUACUUGCUAAAGUUUAAAUAUUUAUAAAAAAAUAACUAUUAAUGUGACCAUUAUUAAAAAUCGUAUGUAAUAAUAUUCGAUCAUUGGUAGUUUAUUGCUUCGUAGUUUAACCUAAUUCAAUAUAGUGUUCGUUUUCUUAUAAAGUAUGCGUCAUUCUUUAUAUAAAAUACAUAGAAAGAUAAACUAUUGUAUUCUAUAUAGAAUGUAUGUUUUUAGUUAUAUAUGUUUAUCUAUUUUUUUGAAAAAUUUGUAUCUGUUUCAAAAACAUUUAACGAUAAUAUAUGCAGAAAAAAACUCCUUUUUUAAUGUAUAUUUGGAUUGCAAAUUGAAUUUGUUUUUUUUUUUUUAGAUUCAACUCAAUUAAGAGAAAAGAAGAAAAAAAGAAUGAACACGACAAAAUACGAAAAAUGUAUAAUACAAAGAACAUUUUCGUAGUUUUGUACGUAUAGUGUAUAAAGGUAAUUUUGUAUAUAUUAUAAUUUAUACACAAUAUGUCAGUUUUAAAAAAUUGUUUAUUUGGUGAAAUAUGUAAGGGAUUUUGGUUAUUCUUCACAAUUUUCAAUAAUAAAAUCCAUAUGUUCGAUUUUUUAUUUAGUUUUCAAAGAUCUGUUUUAAAAAAAAAUGAUGAGUAAAACAAUAUACACUUUAUCUGAAACGAAGAGUAUACUGUAUUUCAAAAGAAAAACUAAAUACCUCUAAAAGUAACAGAUGAUACAAAUGUUCUAUAGACACAACAUGGGAAGCUCAAAAUCAACGGCCGUACGUUAACCAUUCACUGAUGACUCCAAAAUUAAAAGAGAAACCAAAAAAAAAAAUUCUCGAAACGUGACUUACCUCUCACUCUUUUGUGUUUUGUAAACUGAAAAGUUUCUUCUAAUGAGAAGAAACUUGGGUACAACAAAAAGCUGGUCUUGAAUCAGAAACAUACGAUUCCCCAAACUCCACAACACAAUACCAAAUAUGAAAUGAUGAUGAUGGAUGGUUUUGGUUGGUGGAGAAUGGUUCUUCUAGCCGAGGAGAUCUUUGAACAGUGUAGGGUUCUGACUUGUUGGGUUCACACCCAUUUGUCUUACAAGAGCAUCUUUCUCGAGAGCUUCCUUUGAGUUUGGUCCUUUUGAGGCUUGAGACUGAUACGUGCGUGCGUUUCCUUUGGAGCUAUCAGACAGUUCUGAUAAGAGAGAGUCAACACUUGUGCUUGUCGUCACAGGUGCUGCAUCUGAGUAUAGUCCCAUCACAUCGGUUGAGCCACCGUCUUGGCUCGAAGAAUCUAGAAGCCCUUCCAACUCUUUAAAAGGAUCCGUCGAUGUAACUGUUGUAGCGGUUGGCUCGCCAAAAUCGAGCAAGUCUGGUGGUGGCUGAACAGGGAUUGGAUUUUCCUUGGGGAUAGUUGCGGGUUUGCUAGCUGUUCCUUUUCCAGGCUUGUGACCACCAGAAGAAGACUUUCUAUCAGUCCUUGAUGAUGAUGAUCCGCCAAACAAGGAUGCAGCGAGUCUCUGUUUCUCGGGAUCGAUCUCGGGUUUCUUUGAUUCGUAACUGCUUCGAGGCUUUGAGCUUGAUGAACCGGCUCCUCCUCCUCCUCCAUCCGAGUGUGUAGUGGUACCGUUCGCUGCUUGUUGAGGAGUAGAAGAAGCUGAUGUGGUCGACUGAUAGCUCGGUCUACCCCAUUUUUGCUUAACUCCAUCGAGUCGCAGCUUGAUUUCUGUUGACUCUCGUUCAGACACCAGAGAGGUUGAAACUGGCUGGUGUGGCUCGCUGUAAUAAGAAGGCUCGGGAACUGGAACAAGCUCGGUCGAAGCUUGUGGUGGCCCUGAUGGCUUUGGAAGUUCAUAAGCUUCAAACCGGAGAGCAUGAGAUGGAACUUCGUGAUGAUCUUGAGAAUGGUAAUCGGUUGUUUCAAACAUUCCCGAGCGCUCUCUCUCGGAAAUAUAAGGUUGUGCUCCACUCUCGAUAGCUUGUUGGAUGUAGCCAUUGAGAAACGAAAGAUCCUUAUCAACCUAUAUUCAGAAAAAAAGACCAUAAGAUUCAAGAAAUCCACGUUCAAAGGGAACGCAUGAAGAAGAAAACGUUACCUCGAUAUCUUCGCAACUAGCAUCUAAAGGUAUUAUACUCUCAACAGCACGGGCAUCUAGAGCAAGGAGAGCCUGAAGCUCAUAUGCACGUUGCUGAAGAUCUGUUGAAUGUGAAGCCAGUAGCUCUUCAAUCAAAGAUUGGCACUGCAUUAAGAAACCAAUCAGUCUGUGACAAAGCAGGCUAUAGAUUGGAUUUUUUGACUCAGAACCGUCUAACGAUACAGACCUCUGGCAACACAUCCACCUUUCUCCCAGAUGCAAUUUCAAAUGCAUAGAUCUUCAUCAGUGCAGAAACAGCAUAACCCUUCAAAGAGAACAGAAAACCAUUACCAUCUUUCAAGCAGUAAAUAUAAACGUAGCAACUCGAAAGUUUUUUAAGGUGAGCCAGUAACACCAUCACAUUCUUGUACAUGUACUACAGUACUAGUAAAUAAUCCUGGUCAGACUUCUACGGGAUAAGAAAUUCCUUGUUUGAUCCAUUUUAAAAAGACGAGUCAGCAUGCAAUGGGUUAGUUAUUAUUAAUUGGAACUCAGUCCCACCAUGUUUUCCAAAUGAAAGUACAGAGAGUGGAGAUCUAAAAGAGAAGUCGAAUGUUACAAGAGCUAAUAAACAGAAUCAAAUUGCUAGAAGCCUAAAACACGUAAGCAUGCAAUGGUUUUCUCGGUGCAUAAUAUUUAAAUGCUGAGGAAGUACCUUAACAGUUUCGUCACUAGAAUAUGCAUCUGCCACAUCACACAGCUUUCCACUGAUAUAGGAAGCAGAAUACUUCCCGUCAGCUGUGCCGUAUUCUCCAAGCACCCAAGAAAUGACCUGGAGAUUAAAUCCAAGUCAGAAGCAUAGAUUCUGUGUGAAAAAAGACAUGCAAUGUGGAGAGACCGGAAAACAAAAUCAACCUGAAGAAACAGGGAUGGAAGCUUUGGCUCGCUGAUAAUCUGCAAGUAUGAUUCUACCUGCAUCAAGAAAAGCACACUCAUAAGCAUAGUACUAAACCAACCAUGAAGUACGAAAUAUGAUUCGGACAAAUCCUAAUUUUAAGAUUGCCAUUUCAGAUAUAAACUCGUUUCUCUGAUGAAAAAGUCCAUAUAGCACCAAAACUAGAUCUAGCAAUCUCUUUGCACAUAAACGCAGAACGAACACAAAUGGAAAGAAAAAAAAACAUACAGCUGAUAAUCUAAGCUUGCUGUCUGCAUCGUCAUCGUCCUCUCCAAAUCCUUCGGCAAUCAAUCGCAUCAAAUUAUGUGCCACCUUAAUAUUUACCAGAUCUCCUGCAUGCUCGAAGACUUUAUUCAUGAUCUGCAGUGUGAGCGAUUUUAAAAUUCUGUCAGCCCAGACGAAGGUAAAUAAGUACACUGAGUACAAGGGAGGUUGGCUUGCUACCUGGAUGAACCAUUGAUUGCUUGGAGCGAAUUGUUCCGCCAACUCAACACAACGAGAUGCUAUCUCAGUCUUGUAAUGAUUGUCAUUGAUACUAAUCAUGUAAUCAAUCAUUCGGUCAACAAUAACUUCGACAUUAGAGGACUUGGUCAUUUUAUACAGCAAUUCAAAAGUUUUCCUCUUUAGUGUAUCAUCUGGAUCCUGUCAGAACGUAGCAACGAAAGAAACAUCAGGCCAAUGCGCGCACAUUUACACAAACAACUAAAAAGGUUUCCUUUAUGGCUGCUCACCUCCAAACAAUCUAUCACAGCAAGUUGGUGCUGCUCAGCAAUGUCAGGGCUUAUUUUUAUCAAUCGACCAAGACCAUCGAUCCCCAUGUACUUUAGAUUGUGACUAUCACUCUGCAAAUAGUUUGCCCGGGAUUUAGAUACAAUCAUAAGAUUAAGUAGAGUAUCUAUAUACAUUUAAGGAAUACAAACCUUCAAAAACUUGGAGAUAGCAUCAGCAGCUGCUUCUAACAGCUUGGGAUUUGGAAUUAUACAAGAAAUACAGCGAAUACACUCAUAAAGGAUCGCAUUUCCUAUAUUGGUAGAAGAAUCACACUUUCUAAACAAAUCUCCAAGCACCAUGUACAUGAUUUCACUUGCACUCUUAUCACCACUACCCAGUAGCGCCAUUAUCUUCAACAACUUGAUCUAAAAGAAAAAUGGAGGCAUAAAAGACAUAAAGUGACGAACUUGAUCAUCAAUACUAAAAGUUAAGCUAAGACACAUAUGACUCCGAACCUGUAUGAAGGGUGCAGGCAUUUGAUGGUAAUCGUAACUCUUUGGCAAUCUUCUCUCAGUGACCUGUUUAAGAAUGCUGACGAAACUGCUGACCAAAUCCUUGUAGGAUGUAACAUCUUCACUUAUGAGAUCAAAGAGCGGGCAAAGGGUCGCACCCAUAACUCCCGGAUCGUUAUCGCAUAGCCUCUUUCUGAAAUUGGAGAUCAAAUGUGAAACCGAAGAAGGAGACUUGCGGUGAAAUCUAUGCAGAGCCAUGAUGGCUUUCUUCCUCACAGCUUCCUUUUGGUGAUUAAGCAAGUCCACCACCUGAGGCAAAACCGCCGGGAUUGUCUCCUCGUUGAUCAGCCUACAGAUUGCAUUAAGUGCCGCACAAACAACGAGAUAGUUAUCGGAUCUGAGAUCUUUCUGGAUCGUGUUGACGAUAAGGAUAAUGAGGUCGUGAUCCUCGUUGAGAAAGAGCGUGACGGCUAGGUAACCGGUACGCUUGAGGAGGAGAUUAUCGUCGUGGGUCAUCUUCACGGCGUGAAUGUAACCAAAGGAAGCGUCGUGGCCUAGCAUCUCAAUGUAAACGAGGCGUAUAAUGUACUCUUUCAUCUUCCUCUUGGGCACAUCUGGCUCCAACAACCUCCGUUUCAGUAUAUCGAUCUCGCUGAGCACGAUCCGAUCUUCCUCGGCCUUGGAUCGUGCCUCACCGAUUGAUUUGACCAGAUCGAGAAACUCCUUCGACUGACCAAAACCUCCUUGCGAUCCCAUCGCUAGCUCUCUCCCAAUUGUCUUCAGCUGCUCCAUCCUCUCUCUCUCUCUCUCACACACACACACACACUCACACUCAAAUCAAAUCUCUAGCACCAAAUUUCGACCAGUGAAAUUCUCCUCCGAUGAUUGAUCGAUUAACGACGAAACGGCGAUAGGAUUCGGAUUUGGAUUUGGAUUUCGAUUAGGGUUCUUCCGAUCAGAAAUCGGAAAAGAGACCAUGCGAAAAUUCCUCUUCCACCUUCUAUGCUUUGUUUCCCGUGACCGUUCCGGUGAUAAUUGUGAUUCAACGGAGCUCAGAUCUGAAAGAUGAAAAACGUGAAGAGAUUUUAGUAACCACGAGAGAGUCUCUUGUUUGUCUUUGCUUUUAGCUCAAUAAGCCACCAGGUGGUCCUCG
rnacentral:lncRNA from 1 species